CGCGUAGGCGGGAUGGCAAGUCGGUCGUGAAAUCCCUCGGCUCAACUGAGGAGCGUCGGCCGAUACUGCCGUUCUUGAGGGAUGCAGAGGAGACUGGAAUUCCCGGUGUAGCGGUGAAAUGUGUAGAGAUCGGGAGGAACACCGGUGGCGAAGGCGGGUCUCUGGGCAUCUCCUGACGUUGAGGCGCGAAAGCGUGGGGAGCAAACG
rnacentral:rRNA from 1 species